UAGGGAAUCUUCGGCAAUGGACGAAAGUCUGACCGAGCAACGCCGCGUGAGUGAAGAAGGUUUUCGGAUCGNAAAACUCUGUUGGUAGAGAAGAACGUUGGUGAGAGUGGAAAGCUCAUCAAGUGACGGUAACUACCCAGAAAGGGACGGCUAACUACGUGCCAGCAGCCGCGGUAAUACGUAGGUCCCGAGCGUUGUCCGGAUUUAUUGGGCGUAAAGCGAGCGCAGGUGGUUUAUUAAG
rnacentral:rRNA from 1 species